GACGAACGCUGGCGGCGUGCCUAAUACAUGCAAGUCGUGCGGACCUUGUUGAAAGCUUGCUUUUCAAAGGUUAGCGGCGGACGGGUGAGUAACACGUGGGCAACCUGCCUGUAAGACUGGGAUAACGCCGGGAAACCGGGGCUAAUACCAGAUCGUUUUUUCCUCCGCAUGGAGGAAAAAGGAAAGGCGGCUUCGGCUGCCACUUACAGAUGGGCCCGCGGCGCAUUAGCUAGUUGGCGGGGUAAUGGCCCACCAAGGCAACGAUGCGUAGCCGACCUGAGAGGGUGAUCGGCCACAUUGGGACUGAGACACGGCCCAAACUCCUACGGGAGGCAGCAGUAGGGAAUCUUCCGCAAUGGACGAAAGUCUGACGGAGCAACGCCGCGUGAGUGAAGAAGGCCUUCGGGUCGUAAAACUCUGUUGCCGGGGAAGAACAAGUGCCGUUCGAACAGGGCGGCGCCUUGACGGUACCAGGCCAGAAAGCCACGGCUAACUACGUG
rnacentral:rRNA from 1 species